rnacentral:piRNA from 1 species
UAACAGAAACACAUUAUAAGGUGGACCAUGU